rnacentral:ncRNA from 1 species
GCAACCUGGCGUUCGCGCGCAAGAACCGCAGCGUCUUCCUCUCCAUGCUGGGCAACUCCUGGUUCUGGUUCUAUGGCGCCAUGGUGCUGGCCCAGUUCCCGGUCUUCGCCAAGGAUUACCUG